rnacentral:lncRNA from 1 species
CAGGUGAGUGGGAGUCAUGUACUUUGCACCAUGAGCAUCCUUAAUUCAUUUUCAUGAAUACCGCCAAGUGUGAAUUGAUUCCACUUGUGCAUAUUGAUUGAUAUUGUAGUAGAUUCCUCUAUAAUCUUGUUUCUCCAUACUUGAUUAUCUUGUGCACGCAUUUGAGGGAACAUUGAGAGGAAUUACAAGGGGUGGAAAAGUAGUCAAAUUGGAUU